rnacentral:rRNA from 1 species
CGAAUGCUGACAUAAGUAACGAUAAAGCGGGUGAAAAGCCCGCUCGCCGGAAGACCAAGGGUUCCUGUCCAACGUUAAUCGGGGCAGGGUGAGUCGACCCCUAAGGCGAGGCCGAAAGGCGUAGUCGAUGGGAAACAGGUUAAUAUUCCUGUACUUGGUGUUACUGCGAAGGGGGGACGGAGAAGGCUAUGUUGGCCGGGCGACGGUUGUCCCGGUUUAAGCGUGUAGGCUGGUUUUCCAGGCAAAUCCGGAAAAUCAAGGCUGAGGCGUGAUGACGAGGCACUACGGUGCUGAAGCAACAAAUGCCCUGCUUCCAGGAAAAGCCUCUAAGCAUCAGGUAACAUCAAAUCGUACCCCAAACCGACACAGGUGGUCAGGUAGAGAAUACCAAGGCGCUUGAGAGAACUCGGGUGAAGGAACUAGGCAAAAUGGUGCCGUAACUUCGGGAGAAGGCACGCUGAUAUGUAGGUGAAGUCCCUCGCGGAUGGAGCUGAAAUCAGUCGAAGAUACCAGCUGGCUGCAACUGUUUAUUAAAAACACAGCACUGUGCAAACACGAAAGUGGACGUAUACGGUGUGACGCCUGCCCGGUGCCGGAAGGUUAAUUGAUGGGGUCAGCGCAAGCGAAGCUCUUGAUCGAAGCCCCGGUAAACGGCGGCCGUAACUAUAACGGUCCUAAGGUAGCGAAAUUCCUUGUCGGGUAAGUUCCGACCUGCACGAAUGGCGUAAUGAUGGCCAGGCUGUCUCCACCCGAGACUCAGUGAAAUUGAACUCGCUGUGAAGAUGCAGUGUACCCGCGGCAAGACGGAAAGACCCCGUGAACCUUUACUAUAGCUUGACACUGAACAUUGAGCCUUGAUGUGUAGGAUAGGUGGGAGGCUUUGAAGUGUGGACGCCAGUCUGCAUGGAGCCGACCUUGAAAUACCACCCUUUAAUGUUUGAUGUUCUAACGUGGACCCGUGAUCCGGGUUGCGGACAGUGUCUGGUGGGUAGUUUGACUGGGGCGGUCUCCUCCUAAAGAGUAACGGAGGAGCACGAAGGUUGGCUAAUCCUGGUCGGACAUCAGGAGGUUAGUGCAAUGGCAUAAGCCAGCUUGACUGCGAGCGUGACGGCGCGAGCAGGUGCGAAAGCAGGUCAUAGUGAUCCGGUGGUUCUGAAUGGAAGGGCCAUCGCUCAACGGAUAAAAGGUACUCCGGGGAUAACAGGCUGAUACCGCCCAAGAGUUCAUAUCGACGGCGGUGUUUGGCACCUCGAUG